rnacentral:rRNA from 1 species
CACGUAGGGGGCAAGCGUUGUCCGGAUUUAUUGGGCGUAAAGAGCUCGUAGGCGGUUCGGUAAGUCGGGUGUGAAACCUCCAGGCUCAACCUGGAGACGCCACCCGAUACUGCUGUGACUCGAGUCCGGUAGGGAGCGUGGAAUUCCCGGUGUAGCAGUGACAUGCGUAGAUAUCGGGAGGAACACCAAUGGCGAAGGCAGCUUGCUGGGCCACACCGUGACGUUAAGGUACGAAAGCGUGGGGAGCGAACGGGAUUAGAGUACCGAGUACGUC